rnacentral:rRNA from 1 species
GACGAACGCUGACGGCGUGCUUAACACAUGCCAGUCGAACGGAAAGGCCCUGCUUUUGUGGGGUGCUCGAGUGGCGAACGGGUGAGUAACACGUGAGUAACCUGCCCUUGACUUUGGGAUAACUUCAGGAAACUGGGGCUAAUACCGGAUAGGAGCUCCUGCUGCAUGGUGGGGGUUGGAAAGUUUCGGCGGUUGGGGAUGGACUCGCGGCUUAUCAGCUUGUUGGUGGGGUAGUGGCUUACCAAGGCUUUGACGGGUUGCCGGCCUGAGAGGGUGACCGGCCACAUUGGGACUGAGAUACGGCCCAGACUCCUACGGGAGGCAGCAGUGGGGAAUAUUGCACAAUGGGCGGAAGCCUGAUGCAGCAACGCCGCGUGCGGGAUGACGGCCUUCGGGUUGUAAACCGCUUUCGCCUGUGACGAAGCGUGAGUGACGGUAAUGGGUAAAGAAGCACCGGCUAACUACGUG